rnacentral:rRNA from 1 species
AACGCUAGCUACAGGCUUAACACAUGCAAGUCGAGGGGCAGCAUUGGAGUAGCAAUACUUCAGAUGGCGACCGGCGCACGGGUGAGUAACACGUAUCCAACCUGCCGCUUACUCGGGGAUAGCCUUUCGAAAGAAAGAUUAAUACCCGAUGGUAUAAAGAGUUCGCAUGUUCUCUUUAUUAAAGAAUUUCGGUAAGCGAUGGGGAUGCGUUCCAUUAGAUAGUUGGCGGGGUAACGGCCCACCAAGUCUACGAUGGAUAGGGGUUCUGAGAGGAAGGUCCCCCACAUUGGAACUGAGACACGGUCCAAACUCCUACGGGAGGCAGCAGUGAGGAAUAUUGGUCAACGGGCGCGAGCCUGAACCAGCCAAGUAGCGUGAAGGAUGAAGGUCCUACGGAUUGUAAACUUCUUUUAUAAGGGAAUAAAGUCACCCACGUGUGGGUGUUUGUAUGUACCUUAUGAAUAAGCAUCGGCUAACUCCGUGCCAGCAGCCGCGGUAAUACGGAGGAUGCGAGCGUUAUCCGGAUUUAUUGGGUUUAAAGGGAGCGUAGACGGGUCGUUAAGUCAGCUGUGAAAGUUUGAGGCUCAACCUUAAAAUUGCAGUUGAUACUGGCGUCCUUGAGUACGGUUGAGGCAGGCGGAAUUCGUGGUGUAGCGGUGAAAUGCUUAGAUAUCACGAAGAACUCCGAUUG